rnacentral:rRNA from 1 species
GUGCCAGCAGCCGCGGUAAUACGUAGGUGGCAAGCGUUGUCCGGAAUUAUUGGGCGUAAAGCGCGCGCAGGCGGUCCUUUAAGUCUGAUGUGUAAAGCGCCACGGCUCAACCGUGGAGGGUCAUUGGAAACUGGGGGACUUGAGUACAGAAGAGGAAAGACGGAAUUCCACGUGUAGCGGUGAAAUGCGUAGAGAUGUGGAGGAACACCAGUGGCGAAGGCGGCUUUCUGGUCUGUAACUGACGCUGAGGCGCGAAAGCGUGGGGAGCAAACAGGAUUAGAUACCCUGGUAGUCC